rnacentral:rRNA from 1 species
UAGGGAAUCUUGCGCAAUGGGCGAAAGCCUGACGCAGCCAUGCCGCGUGAAUGAUGAAGGUCUUAGGAUUGUGAAAUUCUUUCACCGGGGACGAUAAUGACGGUACCCGGAGAAGAAGCCCCGGCUAACUUCGUGCCAGCAGCCGCGGUAAUACGAAGGGGGCUAGCGUUGCUCAGAAUUACUGGGCGUAAAGGGCGCGUAGGCGGACAGUUUAGUCAGAGGUGAAAGCCCAGGGCUCAACCUUGGAAUUGCCUUUGAUACUGGCUGUCUUGAGUGCGGGAGAGGUGUGUGGAACUCCGAGUGUAGAGGUGAAAUUCGUAGAUAUUCGGAAGAACACCAGUGGCGAAGGCGACACACUGGCCCGUUACUGACGCUGAGGCGCGAAAGCGUGGGGAGCAAACAGGAUUAGAUACCCUGGUAGUCACGCCGUAAACGAUGAAUGCUAGUUGUCGGCAUGCAUGCAUGUCGGUGACGCAGCUAACGCAUUAGGCAUUCCGCCUGGGGGAGUACGGUCGCAAGAUUAAAAACUUAAAGGAAUUGACGGGGUCAUAGCUGUUUCC